UACAGAGGUGGCAAGCGUUGUUCGGAAUUACUGGGCGUAAAGGGCGCGUAGGCGGUCCUCUAAGUCUUGUGUGAAAUCUCUCGGCUCAACCGAGAAACGUCGGCCGAUACUGCCGUUCUUGAGGGAUGCAGAGGAGAGUGGAAUUCCUGGUGUAGCGGUGAAAUGCGCAGAUAUCAGGAAGAACACCCGUGGCGAAGGCGGCUCUCUGGGACGGUACUGACGCUGAGACGCGAAAGCGUGGGGAGCGAACAGG
rnacentral:rRNA from 1 species